rnacentral:sRNA from 1 species
AGUACUAACCAGGCCCGGCCCUGCUUAACUUCAGAUCAGACAAUAUCGGGAACAUUCAGGGUGGU